UAAAGAUGCAGAUGCAUGUCACUGAAGCGUGAGGAGGUUUUUGUACAGGCUCUAAAUAGAUUUGUACCACUGUGGUGGACUUUUGGUAGCGGCACGAAGCUUGAAGUUGGAAGUAACACCAGCCCCAAACUGACAGUCUUGCCCCCGUCAAGCGAAGAGCUCUCCAGCAAGAGUACUUCCACGCUGGUGUGCCUGGCCAACGGAGGCUUCCCGUCAGACUGGGCUCUCAGCUGGAAGGUGGAUGGGAACAGCAGGCCUGGGGUGGCCAGUCGCUGGGGUCCAGAGAAGAACGGCCUGUACAGCUGGAGCAGCACCCUGACCAUGCCUUCCCAGGAGUGGACCAAGGCUGCCUCAGUGACCUGUGAGGCCAAACAGGGCUCCCAGUCUCCAGUCACCAAGGUUAUAAAGAGAGGCGAAUGCUCUGACUAGAGUAGCCUACCUCCAUUUUCUACAGUCUGGGUGACUGAUUAUUGUAUGUGUCUUAUUUUUUUAUCGUUUAUGUACUCACUGUACUGUGCUUGCUGUCUUCAUUGACAUACAGCCACAGCCUUUACUGUUAUACUUGUUCUGCCUAAUCAAUGAGAAAAUGUUCUUGUGCCGUUUCUGUUGCAAAAUUUGACUUGGAAAAAAUAAAAGCUUUCUACUGAACCAUA